rnacentral:rRNA from 1 species
UGAGGAAUAUUGGACAAUGGGGGCAACCCUGAUCCAGCCAUGCCGCGUGAGUGAUGAAGGCCUUCGGGUUGUAAAACUCUUUUAGAUGUGACGAUGAUGACGGUAACAUCAGAAAAAGCUCCGGCUAACUUCGUGCCAGCAGCCGCGGUAAUACGAAGGGAGCGAGCGUUGUUCGGAAUUACUGGGCUUAAAGCGUGCGUAGGCGGAUGUGUAAGUCAGGAGUGAAAUCCCGGGGCUUAACCCCGGAACUGCUCUUGAGACUGCAUGUCUUGAAUUCGGUAGAGGUUGGUGGAAUAUCCAGUGUAGAGGUGAAAUUCGCAGAUAUUGGAUGGAACACCGGUGGCGAAGGCGACCAACUGGGCCGACAUUGACGCUGAGGCACGAAAGCGUGGGUAGCAAACAGGAUUAGAUACCCCCGUAGUCC